GCGGCAGGAAGUGGUUGUGUAGACGGAGAGACGCCCUCGCAGGUUUUCGAAACGGCGACGGUUUGCGUUGUUUACGGUUGUUCGAAUCCAUAAACCUGAGUAAACACGUUAAACUUUUAUCGAGUACCACAGGUUGGUUUUCACAGCGAAGAAAAUGAAAGAAGCUGACCAAAAACGCCACUUGGUGUCGGAUAAGCCUCGUGAGUGACCACCUCGUUAAAGCUGUGGAUGCAGACAGAGGAUGAGAAGCUGAUGGGUCUGCAGCACGAGGACUCCUUCUGAUUGGAAGGCUUUCUCUGACUGAAUCCCAGCUGACCACACAGCCUCACCUGAUAGGACCUCACCUGAUGGGACUGUCAGCUGUGACCAGUUUGUAAGAUAAAGUUCCCACGCUGCAGAGACAGAUGAGUUAAUCUGAGCCUGAGAGCUGGAGACGAUGGAUUCUGCCUCAUCAAGCAGGGAGAUGAUGUUACACCAAACAGGAGCCAUGUUUACUUCCUCUCCUCCAGGACUCAGACUUCAGCUCAUAAAGAACAACAUGAAGAUAUCUGCAGAAGAUGAGUGUCUUCAGCUGCUGUCGUCUUCUCCUCCCGCAGAGACAAGAACACGUGUGAAUCACAGAGACUGAUCAAUAAAUCUAUUUUUCCUUUCCUAAGCUAUCUGCAUUCAUUUUUGAUAUCUAUACUAUAUUUUUUGAUCAAUUUUGGUGCCUUACUAUACUACGACUUUUUUUUUAUGCUUUUUAAUGCCUUACUAUACUAUGGCAUUUUUUUGAUGCCUAUACUAUGACUUUUUUCGAUGGUUUUUGACGCUUUUAACAUUUUUUGAUGUUUUUUCAUGCCUUACUGUACCAUGACAUUUUUUGAAGGUUUUUUAAGCCUUUCCGUACUAUAACAUUUUUUGAUUAACACUACUACUACACACACCUUACUAUACUGUGAUGCCAUCUUACCUUUGUUGUCCAGAGACACACACUCACACUUCCACGCAGUGUUUGUGAGUUUAGUUAGAUUUUGUGUUUCAUUUUAGUAUUUUCCUUUCAAACAGAGCAAUAUUAGUACUCAAAUCCCAUCUAUUACUGGCAUACACAGUCCUGUUUAUAUUGUUCAUAUUGUUUAUAAUUUUUACAUUGUUAAAUAUUAUCUUAUUUCAUAUUUUCUUAAUAUUAUACCUUUUUUUUUGCUGCUGCAACACUGAAUUUUCAGAGGAUUAUCUUA